GCAGGCUUAACACAUGCAAGUCCUUCGGGCAUAGCAAUAUGUCAGCGGCAGACGGGUGAGUAACGCGUGGGAACAUACCUUUUGGUUCGGAACAACACAGGGAAACUUGUGCUAAUACCGUAUAAGCCCUUACGGGGAAAGAUUUAUCGCCGAAAGAUUGGCCCGCGUCUGAUUAGCUAGUUGGUGAGGUAACGGCUCACCAAGGCGACGAUCAGUAGCUGGUCUGAGAGGAUGAUCAGCCACAUUGGGACUGAGACACGGCCCAAACUCCUACGGGAGGCAGCAGUGGGGAAUAUUGGACAAUGGGCGCAAGCCUGAUCCAGCCAUGCCGCGUGAGUGAUGAAGGCCCUAGGGUUGUAAAGCUCUUUUGUGCGGGAAGAUAAUGACGGUACCGCAAGAAUAAGCCCCGGCUAACUUCGUGCCAGCAGCCGCGGUAAUACGAAGGGGGCUAGCGUUGCUCGGAAUCACUGGGCGUAAAGGGUGCGUAGGCGGGCCUUUAAGUCAGGGGUGAAAUCCUGGAGCUCAACUCCAGAACUGCCUUUGAUACUGAGGAUCUUGAGUUCGGGAGAGGUGAGUGGAACUGCGAGUGUAGAGGUGAAAUUCGUAGAUAUUCGCAAGAACACCAGUGGCGAAGGCGGCUCACUGGCCCGAUACUGACGCUGAGGCACGAAAGCGUGGGGAGCAAACAAGGAUUGGAUACCCUGGUAGUCCACGCCGUUAAGCCGAUGAAUGCCAGCCGUUAGUGGGUUUUACUCACUAGUGGCGCAGCUAACGCUUUUAAGCAUUUCCCGCCUGGGGAGUACGGUCCGCCAAAAUUA
rnacentral:rRNA from 1 species